rnacentral:rRNA from 1 species
GAUGAACGCUGGCGGCGUGCUUAACACAUGCAAGUCGAACGGAAAGGCCCUGCUUUUGUGGGGUGCUCGAGUGGCGAACGGGUGAGUAACACGUGAGUAACCUGCCCUUGACUUUGGGAUAACUUCAGGAAACUGGGGCUAAUACCGGAUAGGAGCUCCUGCUGCAUGGUGGGGGUUGGAAAGUUUCGGCGGUUGGGGAUGGACCCGCGGCUUAUCAGCUUGUUGGUGGGGUAGUGGCUUACCAAGGCUUUGACGGGUAGCCGGCCUGAGAGGGUGACCGGCCACAUUGGGACUGAGAUACGGCCCAGACUCCUACGGGAGGCAGCAGUGGGGAAUAUUGCACAAUGGGCGGAAGCCUGAUGCAGCAACGCCGCGUGCGGGAUGACGGCCUUCGGGUUGUAAACCGCUUUCGCCUGUGACGAAGCGUGAGUGACGGUAAUGGGUAAAGAAGCACCGGCUAACUACGUG